rnacentral:rRNA from 1 species
UACGUAGGGGGCAAGCGUUGUCCGGAUUUAUUGGGCGUAAAGCGCGUGUAGGCGGCCAUACAGGUCCGUUGUGAAAACUCGAGGCUUAACCUCGAGACGUCGAUGGAAACUGUCUGGCUAGAGUCCGGAAGGGGCGAGUGGAAUUCCUGGGUGUAGCGGUGAAAUGCGCAGAUAUCAGGAGGAACACCGAUGGCGAAGGCAGGUCUCUGGGCCACUACUGACGCUGAGAAGCGGAAAAGCAUGGGGGAGCGAAACAGGG